CAGUAGCCGCGGUAAUACGAAGGGGGCUAGCGUUGCUCGGAAUGACUGGGCGUAAAGGGCGCGUAGGUGGUUGUUUAAGUCUGCUGUGAAAGCCCUGGGCUUAACCUGGGAAUUGCAGUGGAUACUGGGCGACUAGAGUAAGGUAGAGGAUAGUGGAAUUUCCGGUGUAGCAGUGAAAUGCGUAGAGAUCGGAAGGAACAUCUGUGGCGAAGGCGACUAUCUGGGCCAUUACUGACACUGAGGCACGAAAGCGUGGGGAGCAAACAGGAUUAGAUACCCCGGUAGUCCCUGUCUCUUAUAC
rnacentral:rRNA from 1 species